CCUACGGGUGGCAGCAGUGAGGAAUAUUGGUCAAUGGGCGCGAGCCUGAUCCAGCCACGUCGCGUGAAGGAUGAAUGCCCUACGGGUUGUAACCUUCUUUUAUAAAGGAGUAACGUGGGGCGCGUGUGCCUUUUUGGAUGUCCUUUCUGAAUAAGGAUCGGCUAACUCCGUGCCAGCAGCCGCGGUAAUACGGAGGAUCCGAGCGUUAUCCGGAUUUAUUGGGUGUAAAGGGAGCGUAGAUGGGUUGUUAAGUCAGUUGUGAAAGUUUGCGGCUCAACCGUAAAAUUGCACUUGAUACUGGCAGGCUUGAGUACAGGUGAGGUAGGCGGAAUUCGUGGUGUAGCGGUGAAAUGCGUAGAUAUUACGAAGAACUCCGAUGGCGAAGGCAGCUUACUAAACUGCCACUGACAUUGAGGCUCGAAAGUGUGGGUAGCAAACAGGAUUAGAUACCCGUGUAGUC
rnacentral:rRNA from 1 species